UACGUAGGUGACUAGCGUUGUCCGGAUUUACUGGGCGUAAAGGGCGCGUAGGCGGCAUGACAAGUCACUUGUGAAAUCUCUGGGCUUAACCCAGAACGGCCAAGUGAUACUGGCGCGCUAGAGUGCGGAAGGGGCAAUCGGAAUUCUCGGUGUAGCGGUGAAAUGCGUAGAUAUCGAGAGGAACACCUGAGGUGAAGACGGGUUGCUGGGCCGACACUGACGCUGAGUGCGCGAAAGCCAGGGGAGCAAACGGG
rnacentral:rRNA from 1 species